rnacentral:lncRNA from 1 species
CUGUGCUGCUCAAUUUGCCCUCAUAUGUUUCCUCUUUAGAUAACAUUACUUGUACAAAUUCCAAGCUAAGCUGAAUCAGGGAGACUCAGAGGGUCUUUAUGGUAUUUCUUAUGUAACAGAGCUCAGCUUACUUUAUUUGUGCCUUGCAUAUGGGGUUUCUUCAACUCCCAAGGGCUGAAGACUUGGAGGCUGGGGGGCAGUGGAGAAAACCAGUUGGGACUGAAUGAAUAUCAGCUGCUGACUUGUGGGAGAUAUGAGAAGCACCAGCAACCAUAGAAAAGCUGCAAUUUUCUAUUUUCCUUGGGUGACAUACCAAGGAAAGGAUUUGGGUGGAGCAGACAAUGAGAAAUCCAGUUGGGCUUGCAGCAACAGUAUUCAGGUAGUCAUACAUAUUGCUGAAAAAGAUGGAAUACAUAACUUCAAAGAAAAGGAGAACAUCACGUAAGAUUUGCAUAAAUGUAUAUGUGGAAAGGCAGUGGUGAGGAUGGCCCUGUCGGUGGGCUGCUGCACAGGAUUGGGAACCCUGGAAUCUGAGCAGUCAGCAAGUGAAGGGACAAGAGUUCCAGGUGGAGGAAGCCAGGUCUCAGACUGAUCCUCUAUCCCUGUGAGUGGCUCUGGAAAUCCCAGGUAGACAGAUGACCCCUAGAGUGAAAGAAGCCCUUAGUUUACCACGACAGAUGGGAGAUGUAAAAGCAUAGUCUGAUGUCAUAUCUGUGUGCAUAUAAUCUCUUGCUUGCAUUUCCAUAUCUCAUUUAGUCCUCACUGCUGUGUAUAUAAAUCUGUGGUCUAGUUAUUUUGCUCCAUAUGCCUUCAAAUGGAUGCUCUCCUCAGUAAAGUAAGACACAUGACCGCCAUCUAUGGUCUUAAUGGAAACUGCUUGUCUUAUGAUGUUUAUUGAAUGCUUCCUCAGUAUUUGGGUGGCUAUACAGUAUUCUCUGAGCUUCUGAUUGCAUUCUUUGGAUGAAACCUGGAAUCUUGUUUUGGUUCAUUUCCAUGCCACCGUUGUGAAGGUUAAUAAUAUAGCCAAGGGUUGAGUUGCCUUUGAGGCCUUUUGUUGCUCUGAUACAUGAUACAUGUGCUUCUGCUGUGUCUUUGAACCCAGUUCUAUGCCUGGAUCUUGAGCAGUGAUGUGGGGGAGGCAAGAGAGAAAUAGAUUUCUCUGAGCUAGAUUGCUAAUGCCUCCCACAGCUAGUAACUCCUUGCAGUUGCAGAAUUUUC